rnacentral:ribozyme from 13 species
CCAAAAGAAAGUCAAGAUUUAGAAACAUUGAGGAAUGAAAAUAAUUGGAUUCAUGCGUUUUUCUGUUUUCCGUCAAAUUGUUUUUCUGUGCUUUAUACAUUUUUCUC